GGGGGAGCAGAGCUGCCCCGGGGUGGGCUUUGUCGGCCCUCGAGACCAACGCCCCCACCCAGGCUUGCAAGGCUUGUUCCCAGACUCCCAGCGCCUGGGUCUCCUUUUUUACCCCCGUCGCCUCCCGACUUCCUCCUCCAGUUUUCCUGGAAGACACGUGGGAGGUCGGGAGUGCCCUAGGAUCCGCCAGUCUCAAAGUAGCCCGCACUUUUUCUCGUCGUGGGUUCGCUCCUAAGCCCUCCUUUUUGAGCGUUUAAACGCUUCCCCUUCGUAAGUCUCGUGAGAACCACCCACAUUUCUUAGGAAAAGAGGAUCGGGGCGGACGAGAUGGCUCUGCCGCCCAGGGGGAAAAAAAAUCUCUUCCAUGAAUCAAGCAGUCUGUCUUCUUUUCAACAAACUUGAAGAAGCUGAAGCAUAGAAAAGAUCAGUGGCUCGCCCAAUUGUCAUCAGAGGGGCAUCAUCCAGCAACUGAUGGCAGCGGAUGCAGAGACCCACAGCCAAACACCAGAUGUGGAGCUUAAGAAGCCAGCUACCGAGAAACGGCAAACUCCCCAAACCAAAAACAACCAAACAGAAACACAAAACCCAGACACUUGCAGAAAAGCCUGCCCUCUUGAGGAAACCAUAAGGGAAGAGACAAGCUAAAGACUGGAAAACUUGUAGAAAUAGUAGCAAGGGCUACUCUUUCUACUAAAGAGUCCCCCUUUGCUUUCUGUACCUGCCAGGCUCCUGAGGAGCUACCCCAGUGCCCUGCACCCUCACUAGAUGGAGGAGGGAACCUGUGUGUCACUGCAGGAUGGAGUCACAAGGGGCCUGGGCUUCCAUUGCCACUUGACAGCACUGACCACUUGACCACUCUUUUUCCCACUGGGGUGAUGACAGAAGGCGUGGUGGAGAGCCAAGACAUUCACCACAAUGAGACCAGGCCCCUCUCACUGUGUCCUGAUGUGACAUUGUGGCACAAUAUGUAAUCUGUUUUUGGGUUUUGUCCCCAACUUAUAGUACAGAGCUGACACGGUUGGAAUUCUCUGAACAAUCAGCAGAGUGAAGGAAACAUCUUAUUAUUCAUUAUAAACCUUUCCAGCCACAUCCAAGUUUAUUCUAAUGAGGUGACUCCAGAGGAGGUGGGUGUUGCCUGAUGAAAGAACCAUGUGAUUAGAAGGGUUGGAAUUUUGAGAUCUCAGGGGAGUGGAGGAAAGGUGUGGAGAUUGAGUCAGCCACUUUCAGUCAAUGAUAGCCAAUCACACUUAUACCAUGGAACCUCUAUAGCAACCUGAAUGUUCAGAGAGCUUUUGGAUUGGUGAAUACAUCAGGGCCCCCCAAAGCCUGGCACCCACAGAAGGGCAUAGAAGCUCUGGGUGCCUUGUACCACCACACCCUGACCAGACAUCUCUCUCCCUUGACUGUGUAAAACGAGCUGGUAGUAGUCAAGGUCCUGCCUGAGCUCUGUGAGUUACUUCAGCAUAUUAGGGACCUUUAGGAGGAAGCCAUGGUUCAGUUGGUCCAAACACAAAUUAACCCACAGCUCAAAACACAGCUCCCAUUUCAAAGGGACCAAGAGACGGUUUACUCUGAGCCAAAGACGAGUGACCACAGCCUAGGAAGACAGAGCUAGGAAGUUGCUCCAAACAUGUUUCAAUAUGGAAGCAGUUGCAUGAACUUUUAUAUAUACUCACAGGACAACAAAAAAGUUCUAAAUCAAGAUAUUUUCCAAAUACAUUGGUGGGAACAUCAGGUAGGCAAAUUCCAGCAAAGUGGAGAGAACUUUGCUAGAGGUCUCAGACGCUAUCUGAUGACAUUCUCGGCUUCUGAGGCAGUGGAAACUAGUGGUCUAAGUUAAUACAUUCAACCAUAGUCGAAAGGAUGUUGUGUCAGACAUCGAUGUCUGCAAUAAAUGGCUGCUAAGGAGACUAAAGGUGGCCCGAGAUAAUUUGGCUCUGGAUCUGCAGCAUCCCAACUAUCUAAAAUCAUGACAUUCUAAUCAGUCAAUCAGCCUUGUGGAAUAUCCUAAGUUUGGCUUUUUUCUGGAACCAGCAGUUCAUACUUGGAACUUGAAACUGAUACUCGAAACAGGAGCAUUCUGUUUAUUUAUGAAUGUACUUAUUUAUUCAGGGUCUCAUGCCACUCAGCCUGGCUUUGAACUUGCUGUGUAUCCAAGGAUAACUUUAGAUUCUUGAUCCUCCUGCCUCCACCUCCCAACUGCUGAGAUUAUAGGCCUGUACCACCAAACUAAACCUUUAGCCAGUAGGAUUUGCACUGACUCUGGGUAGCUCCUGUCAGAACUGAAUUGCAGGGCACCCAUUGGGAUCCAGAGAGUUAUUAAAUGGCUUAAUGUAAGGGGAACUCCCACAUUUGGUUAUUCUAGAAAUGUGAGUGAAGAGGAAAUGGUUUUUCUUUUACUCUUCACCCUGAGUAUCAUCAUCUCCUGUGAUAAAAUGUCACUGAAAACCAAGUGGGUCAAUCAGAA